UGAAGGUAAAAAGAGUGUAGUUGAAGUUCAAUGGUCAGAGUGUGGUUUAAAAUCAGGAGGCAAAGGUGAACUAAGAAAGAAAAAUCCAAAGUGGACUCCCUGUCCAGCUUAUAUUUUGGCAGUUGAGUAAUACAAGUGUGAUGAAAGAAAUAAGAAAAAGCAUUCUACAGCCAUGGUACAAAUACUGUAGAAGAAGAAAUCCAGUUAUUUAAAUGUGGAUAUUUACCAGACCUGUUGAGUCAAGUAAAGAACUAAAGCAAGAACUUUCUAAAACAAAUGUGUUUUAAGAAUCCUGAUUACAGAUUGAUAGUGUGACUGAUAAUUCUGAAAUUACUAGAAAAAGUUGUGGUUCAACAUCAGUGACAUCUUCACCUACAAUAUUUAGGACUUAUAAUAGUGUGAAGGAAAUAGUUGACCUCAGUAGGAAAAUUCAAAUAGCAAAGAAGAAGUUACAGUUAUGCAAUGAUAGUGACAUAACAAAAUUAGUGUCAGACAUGCUAAGAAUUUUUCACAUGCCAAAAGAGUUGUAAAAAAAUAUCAUUGACAGGAAUUUAGUCAAAUGCAUACAAAGGAAAAGAAAUGAAAGAACCACUUGCUAAAGACAUCAUUGAUGCCAUUAUAACAUAUACAACAAAGAAACUGGCAGCAACAGAAGGGGAUGUGAAGAAAGCAAUAUCAGCCAAGUUAAAUAAUGAUGC